rnacentral:tRNA from 1 species
GCCGAUAUAGCACAGGGGUAGUGCAACGCCUUCGUAACGCGUAGGUCGGGGGUUCAAAUCCCUCUAUCGGCACCA